rnacentral:rRNA from 1 species
ACUCAAAUGAAUAGACGGGGGCCCGCACAAGCGGUGGAGCAUGUGGUUUAAUUCGACGCAACGCGAAGAACCUUACCUGGGCUCGAAAUGCUGCAGACCGCUGGUGGAAACACCGGUUUCCCCGCAAGGGGCUGUAGUAUAGGUGCUGCAUGGCUGUCGUCAGCUCGUGUCGUGAGAUGUUGGGUUAAGUCCCGCAACGAGCGCAACCCUUGUCCUGUGUUGCUAAUCGCAAGAUGCACUCGCAGGAGACCGCCAACGAUAAGUUGGAGGAAGGUGGGGAUGACGUCAAGUCAUCAUGGCCUUUAUGUCCAGGGCUACACACGUGCUACAAUGGACGGUACAAAGCGCUGCAAACCCGCAAGGGGGAGCUAAUCGCAAAAAACCGUUCUCAGUUCGGAUUGCAGGCUGCAACUCGCCUGCAUGAAGCUGGAAUCGCUAGUAAUGGCGUAUCAGAACGACGCCGUGAAUACGUUCCCGGGCCUUGUACACACCGCCCGU